CACGUAGGGGGCAAGCGUUGUCCGGAUUUAUUGGGCGUAAAGAGCUCGUAGGCGGUUCGGUAAGUCGGGUGUGAAACCUCCAGGCUUAACCUGGAGACGCCACCCGAUACUGCUGUGACUAGAGUCCGGUAGGGGAGCGUGGAAUUCCUGGUGUAGCGGUGAAAUGCGCAGAUAUCAGGAGGAACACCGGUGGCGAAGGCGGGUCUCUGGGCCGUAACUGACGCUGAGGAGCGAAAGCAUGGGGAGCGAACAGG
rnacentral:rRNA from 1 species